CUUGGAGAAGGUCCUUGAAGCCGUCACCACAGCAGGAGAACACAGGGCCACAGAGAGGUUCAGUCCAAUCGUAGAAGGACUCAGAGAUCGCUCCGUCCAAUUACAAGUGGCCUGCAUGCAGCUCAUCAAUGCUCUGGUGACGUCUCCAGACGAGCUGGACUUCAGGCUUCACAUCAGGAAUGAGUUUAUUCGCUCCGGCCUCAGAGAGAUUUUCCCGCAUCUGACAACGAUCAGGAACGAUGCCCUGGACAUUCAGCUCAAGGUGUUUGAGGAGCACAAGGAAGAGGAUCUGAUGGAGCUCAGUCACCGGC